rnacentral:rRNA from 1 species
CGAAUGAGAAUUUAGCUUGCUAAAUUCAAGUUAGUGGCAAACGGGUGAGUAACACGUGGGAAUCUACCCAGUAGUACGGAAUAACAGUUGGAAACGAUUGCUAAUACCGUAUAGUAUCGAGAGAUUAAAGAUUUAUCGCUACUGGAUGAGCCCGCGUCAGAUUAGGUAGUUGGUGGGGUAAUGGCCUACCAAGCCAAAGAUCUGUAGCUGGUCUGAGAGGAUGAUCAGCCACACUGGAACUGAGAGACGGUCCAGACUCCUACGGGAGGCAGCAGUGAGGAAUAUUGGACAAUGGGCGAAAGCCUGAUCCAGCAAUACCGCGUGAGUGAAGAAGGCCUUCGGGUUGUAAAGCUCUUUCAGCAGGGAAAAUAAUGAUGGUACCUGCAAAAGAAGUUCCGGCUAACUCCGUGCCAGCAGCCGCGGUAAUACGGAGGGAACCAGCGUUGUUCGGAUUUACUGGGCGUAAAGAGCGCGUAGGCGGUUUAUUAAGUUAGAAGUGAAAGCCCAGGGCUCAACCCUGGAACUGCUUCUAAAACUGGUAAACUAGAGUACGGGAGAGGAUAGUGGAAUUCCUAGUGUAGAGGUGAAAUUCUUAGAUAUUAGGAGGAACACCGGUGGCGAAAGCGACUAUCUGGAACGUUACUGACGCUGAGGCGCGAAAGCGUGGGGAGCAAACAGGAUUAGAUACCCUGGUAGUCCACGCUGUAAACGAUGAAUGCUAGAUAUCGGGGUUAUACUCGGUGUCGAAGUUAACAUGAUAAGCAUUCCGCCUGGGGAGUACGGUCGCAAGAUUAAAACUCAAAGGAAUUGACGGGGGGCUCGCACAAGCGGUGGAGUAUGUGGUUUAAUUCGAAGCAACGCGAAAAACCUUACCAGCCUUUGACAUGUUGGGUCGUACGAUCCAGAGAUGGAUUCGUCAGUUCGGCU